ACGGAGGGUGCAAGCGUUACUCGGAAUCACUGGGCGUAAAGGACGCGUAGGCGGAUUAUCAAGUCUCUUGUGAAAUCCUAUGGCUUAACCAUAGAACUGCUUGGGAAACUGAUAAUCUAGAGUGAGGGAGAGGCAGAUGGAAUUGGUGGUGUAGGGGUAAAAUCCGUAGAGAUCACCAGGAAUACCCAUUGCGAAGGCGAUCUGCUGGAACUCAACUGACGCUAAUGCGUGAAAGCGUGGGGAGCAAACAG
rnacentral:rRNA from 1 species